rnacentral:tRNA from 1 species
UCCUCGGUAGUAUAGCGGUGAGUAUCCCCGCCUGUCACGCGGGAGACUGGGGUUCGAUUCCUCGCCGGGUAA